UGGGGAAUAUUGCACAAUGGGCGCAAGCCUGAUGCAGCGACGCCGCGUGGGGGAUGACGGCCUUCGGGUUGUAAACCUCUUUCGGUAGGGACGAAGCCUUUUUUUGGGUGACGGUACCUGUAGAAGAAGCACCGGCUAACUACGUGCCAGCAGCCGCGGUAAUACGUAGGGUGCGAGCGUUGUCCGGAAUUACUGGGCGUAAAGAGCUCGUAGGUGGUUUGUUGCGUCGUCUGUGAAAUACCGGGGCUUAACUUCGGGGUUGCAGGCGAUACGGGCAUAACUGGAGUGCUGUAGGGGAGACUGGAAUUCCUGGUGUAGCGGUGGAAUGCGCAGAUAUCAGGAGGAACACCGAUGGCGAAGGCAGGUCUCUGGGCAGUAACUGACGCUGAGGAGCGAAAGCAUGGGGAGCGAACAG
rnacentral:rRNA from 1 species